UUUAAAGGUUCCUCACAAGUCUGGGCAGGAACUUGCAUGGCUCUUUGACCUCUUCUGUCCACAGGGCUACCCAUAUCACCUGUCCAGCAUGUAAUCUCUGCAAAUUAUGGGAAGUCUUACCCAGAACUUUGGCAGUCCUGGCAAGGCACAACUGCAACAGCAGAAGACACCCCUGAACAGAGCUGGGCUCUCAGAAAGUGAGAGAUGAAAAACAUCAGCCAGGAAACCAGUCCCACUGCAGCAGUUUCAUCUGUGUGAAGAUUGAAACUCAGACCAUUGCCUGCCCUGCUGCAGCUUGGAGAAUUGGGGAUCAGCUCCAUUUGACUUCAAUCUCAG
rnacentral:lncRNA from 12 species